rnacentral:rRNA from 1 species
GUGUCAGCAGCCGCGGUAAUACGUAGGGUGCGAGCGUUAAUCGGAAUUACUGGGCGUAAAGCGUGCGCAGGCGGUUUUGUAAGUCAGAUGUGAAAUCCCCGGGCUCAACCUGGGAACUGCGUUUGAAACUACAAGGCUAGAGUGUAGAAGAGGGGGGUAGAAUUCCACGUGUAGCAGUGAAAUGCGUAGAGAUGUGGAGGAAUACCGAUGGCGAAGGCAGCCCCCUGGGCUAACACUGACGCUCAUGCACGAAAGCGUGGGGAGCAAACAGGAUUAGAUACCCUGGUAGUCCACGCCCUAAACGAUGUCUACUAGUUGUUGGAGGAGUAAAAUCCUUUAGUAACGCAGCUAACGCGUGAAGUAGACCGCCUGGGGAGUACGGUCGCAAGAUUAAA